GGGGAAGCUGCACCACAGGCGGACUCGUUCAGGUUCUCCACCCACCUCGCUCCGCAUCGGCGACCCCGCAGGACCCUGCUCCGCCCAGACUAGAAACACGCAAAGUGACCUUACCGGGAGCGGUGCCCGAGAGUGUUUCCUCCGGUCUUCUGCUAGAGCUCCUCGUUGGCUCAGCCCAAGAGGAAUCCAGAGCAAGGGAACCCACUGCUUCGGGACUUCCCUGGUGGCGCAGUGGUUAAGAAUCCGCCUGCCAAUGCAGAGGACACAGGUUCGACCCCUGGCCCAGGAAGAUCCUGCAUGCCGUGAGGCAACUAAGCCCGUGCGCCACAACUACCAAACCUGCACUCUAGAGCCCGCGAGCCACAACUACUGAAGCCCGUGCGCUUAGAGCCCAUGCUCGGCAACAAGAGAAGCCACCACAAUGAGAAGCACGUGCGCUGUAACUAGAGAAAGCCUGCAUGCAGCAACGAAGACCCAACGAAGCCAAAAAAAAAAAAAAAAAAAAUCAACUUUGAGGUAUAAUUUACAUACAAUAAAAUGCACCCAUUUAAAGUGUACAGUUCAAUGAGUUUUCGCAAAUGUCUGUAACUGUGCAACCAAUACUAUAAUUACAAUAUAGAAGGUUCCAAUCACCCCCAG